rnacentral:rRNA from 1 species
UGAGGAAUAUUGGGCAAUGCCCGCAAGGGUGACCCAGCAACGCCGCGUGGAGGAUGAAUGUCGUAAGAUUGUAAACUCCUGUUAGAGGGGAAGAAUAGUACCGGUUGGACCGGUAUAUGACUGUACCCUCAGAGAAAGCCCCGGCUAACUACGUGCCAGCAGCCGCGGUAAUACGUAGGGGGCAAGCGUUGUCCGGAUUUACUGGGUGUAAAGGGCGCGCAGGCGGGAUAAAAAGUCAGUGGUGAAAUCCUACAGCUUAACUGUAGAACUGCCUUUGAUACUUUUAUUCUUGAGUUCGGGAGAGAGAGACGGAAUUCCAGGGGUAGUGGUGAAAUACGUAGAUAUCUGGAAGAACACCAGUUGCGAAGGCGGUCUCUUGGUCCGACACUGACGCUGAGGCGCGAAAGCGUGGGGAGCAAACA